GAUGAACGCUGGCGGCGUGCCUAAUACAUGCAAGUCGAGCGAACAGACGAGGAGCUUGCUCCUCUGAUGUUAGCGGCGGACGGGUGAGUAACACGUGGAUAACCUACCUAUAAGACUGGGAUAACUUCGGGAAACCGGAGCUAAUACCGGAUAAUAUGUUGAACCGCAUGGUUCAACAGUGAAAGACGGUCUUGCUGUCACUUAUAGAUGGAUCCGCGCCGCAUUAGCUAGUUGGUAAGGUAACGGCUUACCAAGGCGACGAUGCGUAGCCGACCUGAGAGGGUGAUCGGCCACACUAGAACUGAGACACGGUCCAGACUCCUACGGGAGGCAGCAGUAGGGAAUCUUCCGCAAUGGGCGAAAGCCUGACGGAGCAACGCCGCGUGAGUGAACAAGGUCUUCGGAUCGUAAAACUCUGUUAUUAGGGAAGAACAAAUGUGUAAGUAACUAUGCACGUCUUGACGGUACCUAAUCAGAAAGCCACGGCUAACUACGUG
rnacentral:rRNA from 1 species